GCAUAUGUUUUAAAAAGUUGGCAUUUUGCCUGUCCAAAUAGCUUGAAGGUUAAAGAAAGUUUAUUCCUGUAAUUCGCCUGUGAAUUCUUGCCAUUUGGAAUAUUUUGAAUGAAGUUCCAAAUGUAAUUUUCUAUCCUUAAAGUUUUACAGUCUACCCAAAAUUUUUUCACAAAGUUAGCUGUUAAUGCUGAGCCAUUACUCCUAUGAAAGCCACAACCAGAACUUGUGCUUCUGAAUUAGGAGAUGACAUCACUGGCAUCUACGGGUCUGUGGAGAUUGCUGAGGAUUUUUUGUCUAUUAGCUGCAAUCAGAUUUAUUAUGGAUUUUCAGUUGAUUUUUAGUAAUGCUAGAAUCGAUAGGAAGUAGUAGUUUUCAAGCUGGAGUUUAGAAAGUUAAAAUGUGCAUGACUUUUGAAUGUGAUCUUAAUUCAGAUCUAGACGUCUCCCGCUCCUGGCAUCUUCCCAUGAUCCUCGUGAGGAGAGAAUGAAACAUAUUACUUAAGGAGUAUUUGGUGCUUAUUAAAAUUACACAUACGCCCGCCUUCAAAAGAGUCUUGAUUUACUGCAGGUUGUUCAUGUGUCGCAUGCGGACAUUUUUAGAGAACAGAUUUCUUAUCACUGUGAACAGUGAAUGGCUUCCAGUGCUCCACGAUCAGUGAGCAAAAAUGUUAUAUCCAUUGUAAAAGGUAGGAAACCAUGAAAUCUAUAAGCCGAUUUGGCAGAAGAAGCGGUUGUUGGUGCCAAGAUUUGGUUACUGACCCACAGUUUCCUGUUUUUAAAUAUAUUAAUUGAUUCGCAAAGAGCAUCUUUUGGAAAACAAGAACUCAGACAGACUGGCACAGGCUGGAGCUCCGCCAAGACUGCUCGGGAAGGUUGCCAUGCUGGGAGCGAGCGAGUGAGAGAGCGAGCGAGCGAGAGAGCGGAGGAAAGAAAAAAAGGCAAGACUUGGCACGGCUCAGUCAAAUCAGCUUCUUUUGUCUGCUUUCUCGGCUUGAGCUUCAGGAAAGAAAACCGUCCUGGGGUACAGAAAAACUCAGAACUUUUUGGUUUUCAAACUUAGAUAGCUUUUUAAGUCUCUUGGGCUGUUUGAAAGUGGUGGUACAUUAAAUGACAUUCAGUUGCCAGUGGUAAGAGAAAUAAAAAGACUUCUUUAAUGAAGCCUCCACAAUGUCAGUUUAUACAUAUGGGAAAUACGAUAUUUGAUUUUUAUAAUUUUUUUUGGUAUGCUGAGUAAACUGUAAGAGAGCCGAGUAACUUGGAAGAUUACAGAGGGAAUACCUAAAUAAAAGGGAUAAUUGUCAUUUUUUGCAUUAAAAAAAAGUUUUCAUCGACAUGAACAUGCUUGAAAACCAAAUCUGACCUCCUUCGGAAUAUGUUCAGAAUGGGAAUUUCAGCGUUUCUCUUAUAUAUGCUACAGAGGUGAACUUUUAAUGGAACCUCCUUAAAGAUUUCGUCUGAGCCAGCAAUGAAGUGAGAGUAGAAAGUUGUGACAUCUUAAUACAAAAGAUGAGACCAGAAGUUUUAUGAGGUGCUAGUAUGAAAAUAUCAGAUGGAAAAAUCUGAGUGCACUUCCUAUGAUCCUAACUGAACUGAACUGAAAAGCAAGACCUGAAUUUGUCUAAAAUAGCCAACUCCUUCUACUGCUUUGAAGAGGACCAACACAAUUUCUUUUACUUGUGUUUUCUGCUAAAGUGCUUGAUUUUUUUUCCUGACUUUUUCUGUCACAUGAGUGUGCCUGAAUUGGAGACUUCUGGCUCUAGUUCUUUUGUUCUUACCUUCAGCUCAUGUCAUGCCCCCUCGAACAAUGACAUGCAUCUCAAAGCUCUUGUCCUUCUCCCUAAGGGUCCUCUGAGAUGUCAGCAGCAUGAAAAGUUCCUUGCUGACAUUUGGAAGCUGUGAGCUUCACUCCAGAGCUCACUGCUGCUGUUCUAGGUCCCUUUUCUCCUUUUCAGACACAUUUACAUCACUCUCAUAUGGGUCUAUGGUCUCGGUGCCUAAUGGUGCGGCAUCGGGAACAAAACCAGUACUGAUGGUACCAACAGUAUGAAAUACAAGAUGUGGUCAUGGAUUUGUCAUAGAAUAGCUUGGGAUUUAUGCCUAAGCAUUUAAAAUUACUUUGAUUUACUCUUUAAUUGUUUAAACAGUAAAAGGAAAUUUGUCCUAUGCAAAACUGCGUCUAACUACUGCUAAGAGUUUUUAUUAAGCUUCUGCUUUAUUUAAUCUCCUUACUUUUCUAAUUUUACUUGCUUCUUUUUUAAUGGUCAUAAUAAAGAAGGUGAUAAUGUUUGUUUAUUAUCACAGUACCAUUCUUCCUUGCACUGUAACUAAAGUCAGUAGACCUUCAUUUAGUACCCUCAGCGUCUGAGUUAAUAUUUCUCUUGCCUUCCUUUUUACUGAGAAUUUAUAUCUCCAAACAUUCUGUUCUUAACACAUUGCAAAUAAAUUUGUGGCUCCCAUUACUGCUGUCAGGUGCUGAGCACUCUGGAGAAUAGGAUGCCAAAUAAUCCUUGUCGCACAUGGACUGAUCUGUUUUAUUAACACAGUCCAAGUUUGCUACACCCCAAAGAGAACUCACACAUCUUACAGUUCACUGAAGAGGAAACUGAGAAACUCAACUUAAUUGAAGAAGGUGUUGCCACCUUCUCAUGCAGCACAGGGUCCACCAAGAAAGAGCACUUUGCUAUAUUUUAAACACUUUAUAGCCUGGCUCCAUUUUGAGCAGUUAAAUGAUGUAAAAAGUGUUUUUAACUCACUCCCACGGGUGCUCAGAUGAGGACUACAAACUUCCUGUCAAAGUUGCAAAGCUAAUGAUAAACCUGAAAAUACUGGGUUUUUAUGGAUCACCUGCAGGUUGCCUAUGACAGCCUGCAAAUACUAGUUUGGGUGCCAUAGCUGGGAAACACUGAGUAAUAUCCUUGUCCAGGAAAGUCCAGUAAUGCAGUGUAAUGGUACAAUGAUUUUAAUAUUGAUGAAUAGGCUCCCACAGUAUCUCAUGUAUAGUUUUAUUGGUAACCCAGGGAUACUGCUUAGCAGUUUCAGAUAAAAUUUGCUUUAUAUGAAAUUGAGGAGGCCUGGAAAACAUUUUCUGUAUUGUUAACUCCCGUUUUGGUUGAGUCUAAACUUGCAUGUCACAAUUCGUACUGGGACUUGAAUGUAAUAGCAGGACUUGAACUUUUGCUAUCUACACACAGCUUCUUAUUUCAUUCUCUCUGGUUUUGCACAAAACUUGGACUGCAUCCUUUUGACAAUAAGUGAAAUUAAAAUCUGCUUCUCCUCUUCACAGCCUAGGAAAUGUCAGCUUUCCUGUAAUUCUUUAUCUAAGGAUUUUUUCUUGUCAACUAUUGCAGAUUCCUAAGUUGCAGAUUUUUAAAUGGACACCUUAUGUUUAAGUUGUUGUAAGGAUGAUUACAGAUAUUUUGUAUACUUCAGGUAUUUUGAAAUCAAGCUGUAAUUUUGCCAAUGGUGAUAGCAGUUAUUCUGAAAAGACAGUUAUGAAGCAGUUGGAAGCCAGUUUGUUCCGUACCUUAGGUAGCAGGAAUGCUUUCAGGGCUUUCCGGAUUUAAGUUCUGCAAGUGUGGCCAAAUAUUUCAAGCACAUAUGUUGAAACUGGCUUUCAAAGCUUGUAUUUAGGCUUUAAUUCUAUUGGAAGGUGUAAGAGACUAGUCCUUUGGAAAAUCAGGCUCCUCUAAUUACGUAGGUGACAUAACUUUAAAAUGUUAGACUCUUGUCUAUGAAUCAUUCUCUCCCUUUAUUAGACAUGACAUUUCCAUUUAAUUUCCCAGUGGGAUUCCAGUUAAUGUUUUCAAAACAACGUCAGUUGAAAUUAUAUUUGUUUUGGUUAUUUGUCUUUAUAAAGAAAUUUUUAUUAGAGGAAUUGCAAAAUUUCUAAAAUGGAGAAGAGUUUUUAGAGAUCAAAUAUUUGUAAAGUUCCGUGUGUUAUUUUCUUUGAAAUUCAAUACCUUGCAUACAUGCCAGACUGGUGAGACAGCUGUGACACAUCUAAAUAUAAUAUCAGAAACAAAUUAUUUGGGAGUCUGCUGAAUUUUCUUCUUUUAAGCAUGUUUUAUUCAGUGAAUCAUGUGUAUUUAGUGCUGCUGUGAGCAAAGCUAAUGCUUUGGUUUUAAUUUACAGAUGAAGUCAGGCCAUCCUUGGAGUAUUCCUGUUGUCUUAUCAGGAAUGAUUUUUUUAGCAGGUGUAUUAAUUUUUUGUUACAUUGCUGGUUAUGAUGCAGUGUCAAUUUGUUCUAAAUAUGUCUGUUCUAAAUAAAAGAAGGCCAAGUGAUUUUUGGCUGUGGGACCACUGCCUUUUGUCAAUCAGGUCAAGGUGUGGAUUCAGGUGCUGAUGCUCUGUAUUCUCCAAAUGUCCUUUUCUUUUGGAGGUUACAAAGGCUAAUUGGGUUUAAAGUUUUAUGGGUGAUCGCUAAUGAGAUUCUCCAAGAUAUCUGAGUUUUUGCCUUGCUUUUGGUUUGGUGAAAUGUGGUGUGUAAUAUGAAAUUUAAAUAUGUUAGGAAAAAUUCUAGAUGAAGAAAAACUGCUUAUGCAAUUGCAUGAGUGUGAAAAGGGAGAAAACUAGCAGAGGGGGGAAACAACGUAUGUGUGAAGAAUUAGAGAGACGUAAAAUCUUAGUACACUGCUUAUUAAUAAGAUUUAUUGCUGCUCUUUAUAACAACCCUGACUGAAACUGCUUCUUUUACAUUUCUCACUUGAUACAUUUUCAGGAAAUUAGAAGAAAACAUUAAAUGUGU